UCUUCUCUGGUAUAUCGGUAGAACAUCACCCUGUCAUUUAGGAGAUUAGUCACGUGACAGUCCCGGUGAAGAGCUGGGUUCGACUCCCAGGAGGAGAG